CCUGAAUGUAACCUGUGUCUUCCCUUCCUUCUCCUGUGGGUUUGGUAGAGAGCAGGUCUGGGUCCCUGUAUAGCACCACUUCUCAGUACAUCAGCUCAAGUGGAAGAUCUGGGAGCUAAAAGCAGGCAGCCAUCUAAUAUUUCUUUUCACUUCCAGAUUUUCUGUGCUUUCAAGUAUCAAUUACAAGGUUUGUGUAAAUUAUAGGGAUGAUGAACUUGGAGUAGCUACAGUAUGUUUAGAACGUCUGUACAGGGAUAAUAAGGAGAUUGUGAAAAUCUGCUCUAGGAAGUCUCAGAGACGUUUCCAGAUAAUUAAUGCAAUGUGUGGAAACCUGAAAUCAGCACUGUGUUUUUUUUUUUUUUUAAUAAACUAGUAAUUUAGGAACACAUUACGGGAGCACAUUAAAUUAACCAUUAUUAGAUGAGGAAAUGUUAAGAUUAUUAAGAUAAUAAAAACCAAUUAGUGCAGGCUUUUUGUGUAUAAUGUGGCUCACAUAGAAAACCUAUUAUAUUGGAGGGACUACAAGUAUUUGGGAGAAUUUCAGGUACAAGCCAGAGCUUAGGAGUCUUGAGCUUUUUGCUGCAGGAAUAGUGUGCUUUAUGAACAAAGUACUCUUUGAAACACAGUGUUGUGAGGCCAGGAUUGAAGAAGUGGUUAUCCCAAGAGGAUUUCAGCUAGUAGCACCUUCUGAAAACUGGUUUUCCUGGGAUUUUUCCUAGGUUCUGCUGACUAAAGUUGAUUUAGAAGAGAAUGUGGGUGGUAAACCCUGGAACAGGGCCCUGAGUCAUUGUGGAAACACCCUUCUUGGAGAGACUCAAAACUCACCCGGGCAAGGCCCUAAGCAACCUGACCUAACUUUGAAUUUAGUUCUGCUUUGAGGGACUUGUCCCUUUCUGACUGAAAUUGUACGUGGCCAGCCUACCAGGCAUAUGAAAGGACUGUGGGGACAGAACACCACAUCGUAACCUGGAUUGCUCAUCUCCAAAGGAAAAGGAGAUACGGUCUGAAGCUCUUCUGGGAGGACAGAACUGGAAUGGAGUCUGUAAUGUUCAGGGAUGAAAACUGAGAGCAGCGUACUGAUGUGCAGCUAGUGUGAGUGAGACUGGGUUUGAAUUCAGUGACAGAAUCCUCCUCCCAAACCUACUGCUCAAAACAUACUAAUGUGUCUUCUGGGAAUCUGAGACUACAGCUAGAGAAUUCAUACUCCACUUCCACCUCUCCCAAGCUUGCCGUUUUCUUCCAAGUUCCCAUAUAACUUACCUCUCUGCAGAUCGCACCACUCCUUGUGUUGGGAAGCACAAGGAUUUUUCUGUGGUGGACUCCACUGCGUUUACAACUGAUUUGGGAUGAUGUGGUGCUGUAAAGAGCUACCAAUAAACUAGAAGUUUGGUCUAACGGGAGAAGAGCAGUUAAAGGUGGCUGGACCCAAGGGAAGAGGUUGCCUUUGCUACUUCGAACCUCGUGUCACAUUCUCCUGUUAGAAGGGCAAGAAGCUACCCGUUACCCUACAGAAGGAAGAAUAAGCAAUAUGCCUGUGAGAGCAGAAGAUUUGUAACUCUGGAGCCUUGAGGAUUAAUGCUGCCAGCUGAAGACCCAGGGAAACUGAAUGACCUCCUCUAUUUCCUCUUGCUGGGUUGAUUCCUUAGACCUCAUUGCAAAGCAUUUAUCUAAAUUUGAAAGAGGACUAGAAGACGGCAUUUUAAAAAAUGUGAAUGGUUGUGCUUCAUGAACAUGGAGACUCUGGAGAAAGAAGUAUUUUCCCCCUCUGCUUCCUCCACCUGAGUCACUGAACAUCAGAUCCUUCUUUUAUAGCCUUUCAGUUUUGAAUUGGUGCUAUGCUGGCUGACUAUGCAAGUCAAAAGGAUGGCAGUUUAUCCCUCCUGCUGACACGUUCCAUCUUUCUAGCUUGUGAGCUUUUGCAAAGCAAGGUUAUCAGCAAUCUGCUGCAGAGUCCUUCCCACUCAGUAAAUCAAAGCCUUGCUCUUCUCUGGUUCGUUUCCAUGGACAGAUGAUUCAAUCCUCCUUCACUUCCCAGCAGGAAAGCCCGUCGUCCUUGAGCCACUGCCAGCCCUGCCGACCCACUGAGCCCUGCACUGCUGCAACCAUCUCGAUCGGUUCAGAUCCAGCCUGUCCCUCACACGCAGCCCAUCCUCUCCACCCCUGCAGCCCCCAUCUGCCAGCAAAACCCCAUGUAUGAGAAGUGGAGAAGGAGGGGCUCAUUUUACAAUGACAUUAAGAAUUCAUUCCCUUAAAUGAGGUAUGUCACCUUGCCAUUUUAACUUGAUUCAUUAAAAUAGUGGCU